CUUGGGGUUCAGUAGACCAUUGGGGCUCAGCAUCAUGGCCUGGAUCUUGAGUUCUGCGUCCACACAGGGGGAGGAAACAGAGAAAAGGGUGACAAGCGCAUCUAAAAAUCCACAGAACUGGAUGCAUGACUAAAGAAUGAACGCACCAUGCUAAGCAGGUCGCACUGGCAGCAUCACUCUUCGGUGUGGACGCUGUCACAAAGAGAAAAAGACUCUGCUCUUAUGCCCUGUAAUGGACUGGCGAUCUGUCCAGGGUGUACCCCACCUUUUGCCCAUUGAUCGUAUGAGGUAGGCACCAGCCCCCCACAACCCUACAUGGACAAGUGGGUAAAGACAAUAGUGGACUGGAUGGAUAUCUGCAGACUGUGGCAAGCAUAGAGCUCUCUGAGCUUCUCCUCAUCCUGAUAGCCGAGCGACUGCCUCUCGUCAUCAGCCUCGGAUUUGUUGGCAUCACCCUGAAACACAGACACACAGGGACAACCGCCCACCAGGACGACCCCCUAUCGUCACAAUCUUUAUCGUCAUCAUCAUCACCAUCCUUUGUUGCACACACAGCUGAGUGUUUUAAGACAUGAGGAUGUCAGGAGGAAAGGAUUAAGAAUCAAAAAACGGGAAAAGAAGGGAACCUCCAAUUUCCCCUAGAUGAGUUAUAUGCAUUGCUCUGCCAGCGAUCUCCUGUAGUCACGCCAA